UUCUCACGCCGGGAAUCGAACCCGGGCCUUUUGGGUGAGAGCUAGGUAUCCUAGCCACUAGACCACCA
rnacentral:tRNA from 1 species